CAGAACACACUGUGUUGUUCUAGUUCAAGGUUCACUGACGACAGCGGGGAUUACGUCGAUUCUACCGACACCCUCGGGCUGUGCUUCGGAAAGCACUGCCACCCUCACCGGCCCCACCGUGGCACCGCCUCCCGCGGGAAGCCCUCCCUGAGCUCCCGCUGCCGGGACACCUGCUCACAAGACCCCAUGAGAUCAAGACCACGUGGUAACCUGCCCCACUCGUGGUCCCCAAGGGUCCUUGUCCCUGCUUCCCCAACGACCGUGGCUUCCGGAUGUGCAACGCCUGUGCCCUAGAUUCUCCAGCUACUUGAUAAGCGUCUUUCAACAAAAGGUGAACGGAGAAACGCUCAUGACAGCCCGGGAACCCGAUGUGUAUAAUGUCGGCGUGGCCACGGUGAGCCCCGUGUGCUUGCUUAUUAAGACGUACGCUGAGGAGGUAAUUGUCUGCCCCACAGUUACAAAUGACCAUCUCUAUUUCACUUCUCGCCAUAUAGAAAAAUGGAAAUGCAGCACGUGAUUUAGUGAGUAGAGCUUCAUAGGGCUUUCCUUUUAUUUAAUUGCCUGUUUUCCUUGAGCAGAUCUACUAUCCUGAUGUUUUUGACCCCCUUCCUUUCGGACCCCUUGCAGGGUAAUGAGCAAUGAAUGAGUGGCUUUCUCGGGGAGGACGGUGCUUCCCACCGUCGGCAGCUCUCGGACUGACGUGCUGUGAGGAACAUGCCUCUAUCCUGGCGCUCCCGCGGGUCGGGCUCGACGAGGAGGCGGUGAGGGGCGGGGGGAGGUCUUCUGUCCUCGGGAAGCAAUAACCCCUCUUCCCAAAGCGCUCUAGGAAGUUCUCUCCCAGUGUGCUCCAGAGAUCACUAUCCCUUGCUAUGCACUCUGGGGCCGGCUCCCUCCUCCGCAGACGCGCGGGGCCACGGCUCUGCUCUGGAGAAAGUUAAGCACUUUCAAAGCCUCUGAGUUUCCGCUCCAAAGGCUGAUUACAAAAAGAACCCACACUCUCUGUAUUUCAUGCUCCCCAUUCCGUAGUCCAGAGAGGUUUCCUCUUGUGCUAACUGGAAGCUUCCCUUUCACAGCCCCUCACUCUGCUGGUCCGUUUUGUCUCUGCACAGAAGGGGUUCCCUCCACUCCGUGGCUGUGCCAGCUUAUCUCCCCAAAUCACAUACACGUGCCUCAAUCCUGCCAGGCUGUCUCCUUCCAACUGUGGACAUCAUUCUGCCGAUCCACCGAUCGAUUUCCUGGAUGUUCUAAGUAAUCUGACCUCGAUACAGCCGCGUUUGAGAGGAGGAACACCCCAGUCCCCCUACUUCUCCGCCUUCUUAACUCCUCUCAAAAAGAUGUCAAUUAAGUGAGGCGAACGACCAGGUUUCUUAGUUUAUUUUAGUGAUGCCGCCACAGAGGUGUCCUGACUAGUCAACAGUGAAUUGCUGUGGUGACUGCCAGACUGCGGACGGGCUAAGGUCCAAUGAAUCUGCAACUGUGAAGAAAUGAGAAGCCUGUGUGCAUAUGUGCGUGCACUCGUGUGAGUGUGUGUGUGUGUGUGUGUGUGUGAUGUGCACAGAAGGGAUGUGCGUGUGUGCACGUGUGGAUGGGGGUGUGUGUGCGGAUGGGUGUUGCUGGGUGUGCGUGUGCGUGUGUGGAUGGGAUGAGCAGACAAAGACAGAUGAGAUGGACGGACAGACAGACAGCUGUCCCCCAGCGGUCCCGGACACUCCCCCUCUGUGGCCCCCUGACCUGCUUUGGCCAACCACGUGUGAACGGCGGCCACACGUCCUUCCGGGCACACUGGGAAGCCCCAGCUG
rnacentral:lncRNA from 1 species